GUUGUAUGGUUAAGUGACUAAGCGUACACGGUGGAUGCCUUGGCAGUCAGAGGCGAUGAAAGACGUAGUAACUUGCGAUAAGCCCAGAUUAGGUAGUAACAACCAUUUGAGUCUGGGAUUUCUGAAUGGGGAAACCCACGUGCAUAAGCACGUAUCCUUACCUGAAUACAUAGGGUAAGG
rnacentral:rRNA from 1 species